AUGCAGUAGGCGAUUUCAUCAGAGGUUAGAACAUGUGCUUGGCUUCUCCCCAGCAGGGAGUGUCAGGGAGCACCUCAGUGCCUCGGAGGAUGAGUCAUCAUUGAGGUCCUUGAGAACAGAAUGAGCUCAUCUCCCAACAGAGGCAGAGUGGGAGCUUGCGCUCAUCCCUUUCAUUUUCAAGGGCUGCAGGACCCUGUGUGGGUGGAGGAACAGGAAAGGCAAGCUUGUGGUGGGCUCCCAAGCUGCCUCCAUACACUUGUCUUUGCUGAUCCUCCCUUUCCUGAGCCAGGAGGGAACUGCUAUGACUGGCACCUUUCCUUCCAGAUUUGGAGCCGUGGUAGGAACUGAGGACGUGGCCCUGCAGCUCAGAUCUGGGAGGCACAUGCCUGGGACAGGGGCUUGUGAUUACCCAAGCAGUUAUUUUGCAUCUCAGGUAACCAACCAGCACUUGAUGAUGCAAAGAGGAUGCUGCGUCUUUUGCUUCCUGUUUACCUGGGAGGAGGUGUGAAAUGAAGUGCUAACGGCAGGGCACUGGAGAAAGUUUCAGUGGUAAUGUGUUUCUUGAGGAGGAAAAGCUUUCACCUGACGCAUUUCCUUGCCUGGAUUUGAGUCACACUGUGCUAUCUUAAACCGCCCUGGCUUUGCUUUUGAGAGAACCUAAAUUGAGUUGUCCUUGAUGGAUUCCCCUCAUCCUGCCUCUGGGAUCCUGUGCUCUCCUUCAGUUCCUGAGCCUCCUCUGCAGAAUCCUGUUGGGAAUUAAUCCAUGUCUUCCCUGAGUUUCCCUGUUUCAAUAAAUCCUCCGUAUACUGUAUCUAAUUUCUUCUGAAUUGAGGUGGGUGGUUGUAAAGCUAACCUGGUAGAAAAAUUUUUGUUAAGGAAUGUGCUACUAAUAGUGUCACAUUUAUACCUCUGGGAGCAUUUACAUUUUAAAGAGAAACUUUGAUGACUUUCCUCUAAGCAGGAAUUCCUGAGAGUAGAUGGAGGGAGCUGUUCUAAUGAGAACAACUUCUCCCACCUUCUCAGAUCACAUCCUGAAGGUGAUUGUCUUCUCUCACCCAUGAGACAAUCUUGUGUUGGCCAUUUCCCCAACUUAUAUUGUGUUGUAUCUCUACUGCAGACAAUGGUUAAAUUAUAAAUGUUAUAUCUAAGUGUGGACUUAAGAUAAUGAAUUAAUGUAAUGAAUUAAGUUGCAUUGAAAGAAACAUAAAUGUGGGAAUGUUUUGAUGACCAGAAGAGAGCAGAUGUUACUGCAAGGCUCCAGGAAGAGACUGGAGCAGGUACAAUAAGGAAAAGGUUAAAGCUAGAAACAAGAAACAGUAAGGGAUAAAAUACACAAAGGACUGGACAAAAGCAGUCACUUGGAACACAUCCUUGGGGAGGUAAAUUCUGUAAUAAAGGUUUGUUGAAUAAAUUAAUGCAUGAAUAGACAAUUUUUCCUUUCACAUCAGGAAAGAAUAUACAUGUGUCAUGUUUACCACGGUCCUUGUAACAUGGUGUGCUGAUUUCAAAAGUACAUCUACAAAUUCUUUGCUACUCCUCCGUUCAAGAGUUGGAGACUAAUUCCCCUUCCCUGAGUAUGGGCUAGAUUUAGUGACUUGCCUCUAAGGAAUAGAUUGAAAUGCAAGUGAUGGUGUGCAACUUUGGAGAACAGGUCAUACAAAGGCACUGUGGCUUCUGCCUUGCUUACGCCUCUCAAAUUGUUCCCUUGGGGGAAGUCAGUGGCCAUGUUGCUCUAUGGAGAGGCCCACCUGGUGAGGAACUUAAGCCUCCCAACAAGAGCCACGUGCUUGAGCUUGGAAGCUUUCUGAUUACUGCAGCCUGCAUGUCUCCCCACCAACAGGCUGACUCCAGCCUCAUGAUAGUCCCUGAGCCAGAAGGAUCUAAGUGAACUCCUUCGGAAUUCCUGACCCUCCGAAACUGGGAGAGAUAAUAAAUACUUGUUUUAAACUGUUAAGCUGCUAGAUUUUAGGGUAAUUUGUACAAUAGAUAAGUUUUAAUUAGUAAUUUGUACAACAAGAAUAGAUUAAUAUACAGGGCACAACCUCAAUGGUAGUGGUGGUAGUGGUUGUGAUGAUAAUGAUGAUGAUGAUGAUGAUGAUAAUGAUGAAGAUGAAGAUCUUGGCGAUGGAAGAGGAGGAGGAAGGUGGUGGUAUUAGCCCAAAACAAGUAUUACUCCCUGUUUGGGAGAAGAGACAAAUCUUUCUUAUAAACCCUUUUCAUAAUUUUUUCUUCGGCUUUUGUCCGAACUAUGAGACAGAGAGUGCUGUGAUGUCGCUUCAGCGGUGUGCUCUUGCUGGCGACUGGAAAAGCUUUAUUUGUUUUUGGCUGUGCUGCAUUCUCCCCUGGGACCCUGACUCUGUGACACUUUAUGAGAGGAUACACGCAGUGAUGUUUCACUUCAUACAGAGCUCUGCCUCGGUGUCAAGAGAAAUGGUCUUUCACUCUCUUUGUGAAAGUACAAGGCUCUGAGCAGUGUUAGUCUUACCAAAAUUACAUGUCUAGGACAAAAUUCAGAUGCAAUCUAGAGAUAUGUGCUUGCUUAUGCAUAAAUGACUGCUAUAACUUCUGACAUCUUCAGGCUUUAAAAUGGAGAUGAGAACAAUUUGGGUUCUGCUGGUCACUCACCUUGGAUUGAUGAGCUGUGGAGGAUCACGUAAUGGUAAUGGUAAUGAUAGUAAUAGCUACUAUGUGUAGGCCAGCCACUUCAUGUGAACAUAUACAUCAUCUGCUAUGCUCAUCACAACCCUGAUUACUGAGAAGACUGAGUUUCAAAGAAGUUAAUUAACCCAAUGUCACCAGUAGCGAUGAGGCUGGGCUUCAAACCCAGUUCUGAUGAUCUCCAAAGAAUGACUUCUCUCCACUGUACCACACUGUACCCUUUCUUGCUACACAAACAUUGACAACUUUAAGAAGAUAAAUGCUUGUAUCCAGUUUAUGGAACUAUUUGCAAUUGAUGGUACAAAUAUAAAAGUUUGAUUUUUCUUCAAUAUCUGUUUUUGUUAUGCUCUGUUCAAUCGCCUUUCCCCAGCUGUAAAUGAGAUUUGGGGCAGCAAUAUAGCUUUCUGAUCACUCUUGGUUAUUAAGAGAUUUCAGUCUGUGGUAGGCAGCUCCUAAAAUGGCUCCCAUGUUAGAGAGACCCACGUGGCAAGGAACAGAGGUGGCCUCUGGUCAACAGCCAGGGAGAGGGAACUGAAUCCUGCCAACAAUCACAUGAAUGAGCUUGGAAUUGAAUCCUUUCCUAGUGGAACCACGAGAUGAUUCAGCCCCAGCUGCCAUCUUGAUUGUAGCCUGAAGAGGAGGACCCACCUAAGUUGUACCCAGAUUCUUGCCUCAUAGAAACUGUGAGAUAAAUGUCUGUUGUUUUAAGCCACUAAAUCUGUUUUUCAGCAAAAGAUGACUAAUAUAGUUUGAUCCAGUUUAAAGUUUCAAUGUGACAUCCAAUUUAAUGUUCAUUUCCUCUCCUCGUCCCCUCUCCUUUCUGGCUAUGGCUCAGAGACUUGCAGGACCUGCUCUUUCAUCCCUUCCCUGACCCGUGCCAUUUCAGUUCCUGCCUCCCCUGGGUUGGGGCUGGGUGGAGAGAUGGAAAGACACAAGGAUCUCUUACUUGACUGGUGCCUUUGUCCUCUCUGCUCUUGCUGCUUUUCUGGCUUUGUUGAAAUGCCUGUUGGACAAGGUUCACAUAAUAGCUCUCCUCUGGUAAGUAUGUGUGGUUGAGUUCUCUGUAGAACCCUUUGGAGCUUCCCCCAGUGUCUUGGUCUUUUCUGUUUCUGCCUACACAGUUUCCAUCCCAGAUAGUCCUCUCCACAGGUUCUUACUGUUGGAAUCACCUGUCAGUGGGAUCUUGAAUGGGUACCUGCAAAGUGGCUCAAGUCCAGCUACCUUCAGCUGUGUCCUUUUCCACUGUCCCUUUGCCACCAGCGUUCUUUGCCCUGCUGUUCCCUCCUAUUAGGAUUGCUAGAUUUGGUAAGUAAAAAACACAGGAUGGCAGUUAAAUUUGAAUUUCAGGUAAACAAUGCAUUAUUUUGUAGCAUAAGUAAGUCUCAUGCAUCCUGUAUUUUAUCUGGCAAGUCUACCCCCAUGCUUUUGCAUUUUUCACAAACAACAUACAGAGGAGAGGUCAGCAGGGCCAUUGUCCAACAAGGGGAUGAAAUGCUAAUAUCUCUCUGGUAGUCAGGUAGAAUGAUUUGCUUGGUUAGCUCCUUGCUUGACUUGAGAUGAGGAGCACGGGGAAAGGAGGGAAAAAAACGCAUCAUGAAUAGUGCAUUCCAUUGGCUUGUCUUUCCAAUGGUUCCUUCAUUCUCACGUUUGCAUUUGUAGGCUAAGAGAGAGAUGGGCAGCGAAUUUUUCUGAGAGUGUUCUGUGGGAGUGUCUGGCCCCAAUAGUGUGUUAUGUGAUGCUUUCUUGGAC
rnacentral:lncRNA from 1 species